rnacentral:rRNA from 1 species
ACUAGAAUGAAUGGCUAAAUGAGGGCCCAACUGUCUCUUUUGACUGGUCAAUGAAAUUGAUUUUCCAGUCCAAAAGCUGGAAUUUUUACAUAAGACGAGAAGACCCUGUGGAGCUUAAAAACCAAACCACCAAUAUGACCCCUGGUUUUUUAGUUGGGGUGACUUCGGAGUACAAAUAAACCUCCAAAACAUAACCUAUUUGCAAGAUAAACAUAUCAAAACAAAUGUUUUUGACCCAGAUGCAACCUUCUGAUUAAUGAACCAAGUUACCCCAGGGAUAACAGCGCCAUCCCCUUCAAGAGUCCCUAUCGACAGGGGGGUUUACGACCUCGAUGUUGGAUCAGGACACCCCAAUAGUGCAGCCGCUAUUAAAG